UUUCUGCAUUGGAUGUUGAGUUAAGUUAUGUGAACUUGUUCAUGCUAAGCUUUUGUGAUUCUAUGAUAUGAGAUAAAGACUAUGGCUGAGUUUAUUUUCUGGGUUUAUUCAUGAAUAGAAACUCAAAGGAUAAGGCUAAUGGUCUUGCCAGUCUUUGUGAAAGGACCUCAGUUUACCGAAAGGUGCAAUGGCAAGAUGAAUUUAAUGGAAGGACGGCCCUUUGACAUCUGUCUCAGACAGUGACCACCUGUGAAGUGUGGUCACUGAGGUGACCACCUGCGGUGUGAAGAAAGUGGGACUCACCAACAGCAGGGGACCCAAGAGAGCAACAAGCCUUCAGCAGACUCCUGUUGCUGCUGCCUUGGGUUACUUCAUCUACUUGCAUGACAAGAAAAUGGCAUCAUUUUAUGGGAAGACUAGCAUCCAGACAAAGCAAGAGUCCCAACCGUCUCUCUUUUAAAAAUUAUAUAUUUUAUGAUCACAAAUUUAGUUUUACAGAAAAAUCUCAUAAACUUUAAUUUACAGAAGGAUGGAAUGGCACAGUGGAAAGAACCUUAGAGGUUUGAUCUCAGCACCUCUACUAUGGUGGAUUUAUUACUGUGAACCCACGCUGCUUGCCUCCAUGCUACUGAGGUUGGGCUUGCUUUGGCCAGUGGCACAUGAGUGGAAGUGGUACGUGCCAUUUCUGGGCAGAAGCUUUAAAAACCCAGUUUGUGCUUCACUCUGCUCUCUUUUCCCUUAGCCACAACUCUGGGCAGUGGUCCCGAGGGUGUUGCUUCAUCCACCUGGGUUGCAGAACGAAGAUGAUGCAGAGGAGAGCCACAGCUGGUGGGCGAUGAUCAUGUUGCAAGAGUGAGAAAACAUUUUUGUGAGGUAAUAAAGGGUGAACAGAUAUUCAUCCACAUCAAAGGAGAGAUCUGAAGCCUACAUCAUGACUUAAGAAUGGAACAAAGCCUUCCGCCUUAUAAUUUUGAGAAUUGUUACUGAAAGACUGGAGUUUCUGUUCUUGGCAACACUGUGAUGCCUAAGACACCUGAGGCCAACGUUUGCAUGUUCCAUUUCAGGCCAGUUGAGCAAGAACCAAGCAACCUUACUUGGUCUACAACUGAUAUCUUACUUUUUGCAUUGGCCGACAAGUCUCAAGAUGUGAAUGAAGCUUCUAGCAAACGGUUGUCUCUCUCACCAAAUGAGUCUGUAAAGGAAGAAUAUACCUUACUGUGAUUGGCUGUCACACCGACUUUCAGGGCAUGGGGACACUCAAAAGCAAAGGGAAAUGGG